AGUGAAGCGGGAUGAGCUCAAAUUUAAAAUCUGGCUGGUUUACUAGUCCGAAUUGUAGUUUAUAGAAGCGUUUUCGGUGGCAGCCUGGGUAUAAAUCCUUUGGAAUAGGGUAUCAUAGAGGGUGAGAAUCCCGUCUUUGACUCAGUGCAUGCUACUAUGUGAUACGUUUUCAAAGAGUCGAGUUGUUUGGGAAUGCAGCUCAAAAUGGGUGGUAAAUUUCAUCUAAAGCUAAAUAUUGGCGAGAGACCGAUAGCGAACAAGUACCGUGAGGGAAAGAUGAAAAGAACUUUGAAAAGAGAGUUAAACAGUGCGUGAAAUUGUUGAAAGGGAAACGUUUGACACCAGUUAUGCGGGUGGAAAAUCAGUCUUUUGCAAUGGGGAGUUGUGGGCGUUCAGACCGCAAGGCUGGCGUUUGCUUCAUCUUUGUUGUAAGUGAUGCACUUUUUCAUUUGCAGGUCAACAUCAGUUUGCUUUGCUGGACAAAACCCCAAGGGAAGGUGGCAGCUUAGGCUGUGUUAUAGCCCUGGGGCGAUACAGUGGAGUGGACUGAGGUUUCGCAGUGUGUGCUCUCGGGCAAGGCUGACUGGGUGCUAUGGGAUCGUUCGGCGUACAAUGCAUGCAUUUUGCGUCGUGUCUUUUUCAUACUCGCUCAACUCGGCUCUUCCACACUUAGGAUGUUGACUUAAUGGUUUUAAACGACCCGUCUUGAAACACGGACCAAGGAGUCUAACAUAUAUGCAAGUGUUUGGGUGGCAAACCCAUGCGCGUAAUGAAAGUGAACGUAGGUGCGAUCCGCAAGGUGCAGCAUCGACCGAUCUUGAUAUUUUUGGAUAGAUUUGAGUAAGAGCAUAUAUGCUGGGACCCGAAAGAUGGUGAACUAUGCCUGAAUAGGGUGAAGCCAGAGGAAACUCUGGUGGAGGCUCGUAGCGAUUCUGACGUGCAAAUCGAUCGUCAAAUUUGGGUAUAGGGGCGAAAGACUA
rnacentral:rRNA from 2 species